AGAGAAGAUACCUCUGCAAUACGAAAAGACGGAAUAUAUACAGAGUAAGGAGAAAGUUAUAAAAUCUAAUACACGCGACGACCAUUACCUAGAGACGGAGUUUACAGUUAUGGACACAGAUGAAGACGGAUUUCUGUCAAUACGACAGUUCACUAACCUUCUUCUGGCUCUGGGUUUCGGAGGAGACCAAGGGCAAACUGAGCUGCUUCUGAAGAAAAUGAAUAAAGGAGGAAAAGACAAGAUAUCCAAGAGCGAAUAUGCUGAAGCCUUAAAGACGACGAUGACGUCAUGAUAAGUACCAGCCGAUGGCGAGUGAUUUAUGAGAAUUUUGACGACGCCAAUGAAGGAAAGGUCGCUAAUUCUAAAAUUGAAAACAGACUACGAAUUAUGGGAUUUCAAAAUAUGAAAAAUAAAAUACAGGAGAUUGACGAAAACAAGGAUGGAUAUAUAACAUACGAGGAGCUCUUUAGAAAACAUCUAAAGGAUCAUGGAUUGAUCACCUGAAGGCCAGA